rnacentral:piRNA from 1 species
UGAUUGUUCAGUUUGCUGCUAAUGAUGCA